GAAGCAGCCCAUCCAUUGCUUCAGCCCGUAUGCAACCUGAUCCUUCAUCUUCAUUGAUGCUCACGUGAUGGACAUCACACAGAGUCACAAACACCAAAAGAAUCUCAUCACCGCCUACGACCAUUGAAGCCUGGUUUUCCCUCUUCCUCUCCCCCACGAUCUCCGCAAGAAAUGGAAACCGAUGGCGACAUAGAGUUUCUGCAGAUUUGUGCCCUUCUAUAAACUCCAUCAACUCAAUUGCGGCCAGCAUCGCUGCCAUCUUCCGCAUCCCGGCCUCAAUAUUCUCCACGGUUCCGUCGUGACCUUCGAUUUACCCCUGCACGGUCGCCAGGUGAUGACUUGCAGUCGUGCGCGACCAAGAAUCCAAUCGCCUCCAUCGCGACUGAGCUGCAGGACAUACGCAAGGGCAAAUCACUCUCCAGGACGACCACCCUGCAAAUCCCAGAGCUGUGUUGUUAAUGGAGUUGAUUUGUGCUUCGGUCCCCUGUGCCCGCCUUAACUUCCUGAAAUACCAAAGGGAGGAACUCCAUCCCCUGUAAAAGACUGCAGGAGGCGUAGCUGUUGGGUAAGCUUCAGUGCUUCAAUUCAACUGAACAUACCUUUGUCAAGGACUCAUGUUUCUCACUCUUGCCCACAAUGGCGCUGCCUCUCCCUAGACUGUAUUAGGAGGAUGGAUGAGAUAUUGAGAUGUCUUCAUCUUAACCUUGGAUCUCCGUUUAUAUAACUUUCCAUUUUUCAAUAUGUGCGCUGAGCACCCUAUCCGUACCAAGGAUCAUGUUUCUUGCAGCUUGAAGAUUGUGAGUAUUGUAUUCUUUGUCAUGACGUUGCCUCACUGCAAAUAUUAUAGAUCGAUGGGCUCAGAGAUAUUAUAUACAAAAUGCCAGUUCGCUUCGGAGCAUUUGUUCUGGAAGUACAAGAGCAAGUGAAGUAUUUCCAAAUUAUGAUUGUAAUGCCAUCAGUAUAUUGCUUCCCUGCAGAGAUAAUUGCUUCUUUGGACCGAGAAAAUAUCACUUAUUCCUUUUCUUUUUCCUGUAUGGGAGUAUGUAACCACAGAAAGUUGACAAGAUCUAAAUAAUUAUGUCAUUUUCUCAAACCAUGCAGGUUAGAGAAAAGACAAAUAUACAAAAGAAAAUUUUGGUGACUUCUUUUUACCACUCCCUCACACAACUCUUUCUUUACCUGAAUGCACAAACGAGAAAGAUGGAGGACAAAACCAGUUUAAACAUAACUACUAUACUAAAGGUGAACAAACAUCUUUUUUCACAGAAUUUUGGAUUUCUUUUCAGAUAAAUGAUGGUUUGACACGUAUGUGAUUUUGUGGUUAAUUCCUGUUGUGCUCUUCUUGUGUGCAUUUUCGGUGUUCUCUUGCAUUUUAGUUGGUCCUUUUCUAUGGUUCUUUUUUGGGCUUCCUUCUGGCUGGGUAGAUGUAGCCAUUUUAGUUUUCUGUCUACGUGGGCCCUCUCCUCUGUGAGUGUCUGGUUUUGUCUCAUGUAUUUUUCACGUGCUGGAUCAGUGAGUCAAAGCGGCAUGACUCCACCGCUUGGUUUCCUAAUUACUGCAUCAUGACGUGUCCCAUUUUUCUCUCUCUCUCCACUAAUUUCUUCCCAAUCCCCUCCAUGGAGCUCUCCUUCCUGGCGACGAACUUGCCCUGCUUCCCAGGAUAACCACCUCCUAGACGCCCCUACCUACUAUGAAGGCACGAAGAAGCUGUUGCGCCUCCCGCCAUCGAUCUGGUCUCCGGCGCGCCGCUGCCGCCGGACGGGACUCCGACGCGACGGCCACGUCGACCACGUCCCCCAGCAACGCCAGCGGCUGCGGCGUGAUGGAGGAGCAGGAGGCCAUGGAAGUGGGUCUCCGGUGACCACGCGGUGGAGGGCCGGAGCUGUGGUGGUCGGUUUGCGCUGCAGGUAUGGAGCGCGUGCGUGGUUGUGGUUGGUCCACCAACGAGGACGUAGCUCAGACGUAGGACGAGCGUGCAGCAGAGGUCGGCGACCGCCGGUGGAGGUCGUGGUUCCGGCGACAGCGCGGUGGGGGAAUCUACAUCUCCGCGCCGCCGGCUGACGCACACAUCGCAGGAGGCUCCGAUAGGAUGUCGCCGACGAGCGUGAGGAGGCGCAUCGCAUCGCGGUAGUCUCCGCCACGCCGCCGGCGAUCUCGCAGCCGGCAGGUCCCUGGCUCCACAACAAGUUUGGGGCGGUAAAAGGAGCGGCGGGGUGCAGGGUGAGCAGUACUUCUUUUUCUCACAUAAUUCAUGUUCAAUUCCUCCCCUGAUUUGUGCAUUCGUGGUGUUUGUAAGCGUCUGUUUGUGACAUUAGAUCUUUGGAAGGGAGAGGUAAGAUUAAGGUUUGUGUUUCUAAAUUUUGUGCCACGUUUUUAGAUGCACCAGAAUCCCCAAUGUUUUUAACCCUUGGUUUGCUGCACUUCAUCUUUUGGAUGUAUAGAUGACGAAGCUUCUUCCUUUUAUGCAACAACCAGGUACUAAUGUACACACAUGGUAUCUUGAGCUGAAAUAUUCAAUUUUGUCAUGCAGUUUUGGGCAUAUGAUCUGUUGCAAGAACAUAAAAGAUUAGGAAUCCAUGUUUCUUUGUGUGAAACAGUAGUUACCUCAUACUACUGAUGUUUUUUGCUCAUGCCUCGGUGAUAGCUAUUUGGAAUUGAAUUUAUGUAGUUGAUGUGUCCCCAGAUUGGGUGACAUAGAUACUUAGAAAAUCAGUUUUAGAUUUUUCAUAGCUGAGAAUCUAAUACUUCAUGUUGCAGUCUGGAGAUCACCCACUGCUGGCUGCUGCUCUUAAUGUUUGAUCUAAAAACACUCUGAAUUCAUUGUAUGUUUACAAAAUAGUGAGUUCCAUGUAUUAUGAAUAUUAGCAAAACAAAUGAGUGUAGCAUGCUACACCGAAAGGGUUGACAAUAAUUAGUUACUCAACCAUGUGCAACGCCGUUUUUUGAGGAUGGAGGGGUCAGGUGCUGUGCCCGCGGUUGUUGAUCUGUUGUUCACUUUGGAGAUUGCCUUGCUGAUUUACACAAGACUUUCUGCUUUAUUCAGUUUCUUACUCUUGUGAUCAUAGAGUCCAAUCACUACACAUCUUAUCAGGCAUAUCCUUUAUUUUUUACUUGUGUUAAAGUUCCUCUAUGAUCUAAGUUCUCAUUUAGUUGAUUCGAAGAUAAUUUUUCAUUUUUCUCACGGUGCUUUUGUGGGAGCAAGAAACUUAACUGUUGCGAUAAUCAGAAAAAUAUAUAUUCUAUGUUGUUUUGUUUCUACAGGAUAACAAUUCAGGAUCUCACAUGUACUUAUUUCCUAUGUGCAUAGGGAAGCCAAGCCUUGGCCUUCUACCUUCAUCAAUCAUGCGCCCUACCUUUUCCGAUGAGGAGCAACUAGCGCUUUCAAACGACAGCUCUGAAGUUUUGGAUACUGGGAUUGCGGAAAUAUGAACUGAUGAUUCUAGAUGUUCUUUCCUGAUCAGGACUCCAGAAUCUAAAAUAUUUUAUUAUUGCUAUGCUUAGAGUCGAACAAAUGUGGGAUGGAGCUUCUUGCAAAGGUUUGUACUUCAUAGUGGCCACCAACUUAUUGUGUAAAUUUACAAUCAACCAUGUGCAAUCUUGACUGAUGUGGCGUAAAUAUUGUGGGGAGCAAACUCCAAGAACCUAAGCCUGUCCACAUAAAUCUGAAGCUGUAAUGUAAAUUUAGUAUGUCAUUCGAAAUAUGCAUUUUCUAAUUGUAUGCUGAUUCUCUCUCAAAAUUUUGAUACAGAUGGUAAGCCUGACUUACAAUAUAUAUGAUCUGUUGCUACACGUGACUGUGGAUUAUCUUUUCAGGGCGCUGUGUCAACGAACAGUUUGUUGAAGGGAAAAAUAUAUACAUUUACCAGUAGGCAGAUGUAUGAGGAUACAGACUGCUUGGUCGUUUCAACAAAGUCUCUGCGGUUGAUUUUGUUGGCAGUCGGUAGUGAUUUUAUUGAUAAUCUAGGGUGAAUUCUGCUGCUUCGUCUAUGUUGCUAAUAAAAAUGGGUUAGAACAGUACGACCUUAUUAGAUGGUACGCUUCGCUUCUGGUCUCUAUAUAUUGUACUAUGACUAGAAGUGAUCUACCUUAUGUUAUGUCCUGUUUGCCAGACUAAUCAUGAAUUUUGUUACUAAAUCUGAAUGACAUUAGUGUCGCUGCCUUACACCUAUUACUGUAUGCAUCACAACCAGUUAAAGGGCACACUGAGCAUUGUUUACUUUCGUUCCGCUAUUCAAAUGGGGUUGAUGACUGUAUGCAAAUUUCUUAGAGAAAAACAGUAGCACUAUCAAGUAGCAAUCUGUUGAAGAGAGAUUUAUAUCUUUGCAUUGCCUUCAAGUAGAUGCAAAUUGUUGGAUACACGCUUAUCUAUUGUAAGCAUCACUACUAGCAGCUUAAGGAACUUUAAUAAAAUGAAAAUACAUGAUGGUCUGAUAACGUUGUUCAAUCAUAGCUACCUUAUAUAUUUUACUUUCCCGAUUACAGAAUACUAAACUAUACCAGGACUAAGGUAUAUUCUAUUGCAGCUACAGAUAAUACGGGCUAUACCAGUGCAAGAAUACUAAUUGCAGUCUGUUUUUCUUGCAGCAAGCCUAACAGUUGAACCGAAGCUUAGACCAGCUGAGAUAUGAUUAUUCUUACAUAGAUGUUAAUGUAUAUUUUUAGAAGAGCAGAUCCAAAAAAAAAACACAUCUGCAGUGGGACCUCCAAUCUUCAAUAUAGAGCUUCUUUCAAGUGAUUGGUUGUUCUGAAUUAUGUUAGCUGAGCUCUUAUGCAAGAUGCAAGUGCAAUAAGUUUAGGCUCCACAUGAUCUGUGAUGUACCUGUAGAUGUAGUCAUACUUUUGGACGUUCAAGCAUAGUUUCCUUGGCUCAGCUGAGAGAAGAGUCGACUCACAGAAACAAAAACUAAGCGGGCUCACAUUUUGUAUGAAAUAGUACACAUUUUUCAUUAACAAAACCAUUGUACACUUUGCUAAAAGCAUAUAUACAACUCAGUUUUAUGUUGUAAAAUAGAUGCAAUCUAGCAAGCAACUGUUCAUUAUUAUAUUAACAACAUCAAUCAGGUUCGCCAAAGACGUCUCACAACAAUCGAUAUGACACUACGAGUAUUACUUACAACAAUCAACGUGACAGUAUGACAGGUCGGCGCGGCGUGCCGCUGCGCCCAUUUCU